UUGCUUUGGUUGAGCGGUGUGGGGUGAAACAAGCUACUCAAAGAGUGCUACUUGAGUAUUUACAUGACCUUGGCGAGAUUCUCUACUUUCCUGAUGACGACGCUCUAAAGGACAUCAUUGUUUUAGAUCUGAUGAAAAUAGUCGACAUGUUUAAAACAAUAAUAACAGUUAUUGAGCCUAAACUUAGGAAACCAAAGCACAGAGAGGCCUGGAGGAGGUUGGACUCGGGGAUCUUAGAGGAGCAUCUUUUGAGACACCUCUGGAAGGAGUUCUGUUUUUCAGAUAAGAUGUUUGACUUCUUCGUAUCUCUCAUGCAGAAGUUUGGACUGGUGUGCGAAAGAAAGGGUGGUGAACGUA